rnacentral:lncRNA from 1 species
CUUUUGUAUGCACUGUGCAUGCAUCAUGUCAGAAGGUUUGAAAAUCUGAAGGAUUAGUCUGGACAGAACAUUUUCUUUUUCUGAAAGAAAUGGUUGACUUCCAGUCCUGUCUCUCUGCUUCAUUGAACAGGAGAGCCUGUUAUGUUUGACUGCAUCUAUUUUGAAGUUUCAAAUGGUCACGGCCUAUAAGGUAGAGUGGCAAAAGGCCAUCAAUCAACCUAAAGAAGUACUCAGCCCACGGGUCUGGUCUUGUGUUGCCUUGCAUUUGGGAAGAGACAACACACCUACACGACAUUAACAAACUGCAGAAUCAAAAGCCAAAUCUCCCAGCAUUUGGAGAACAGUGAUGGAUCGCCCAGCGCUAUGCCACUUACAUGGGGAAGAUGUGUCUUACUUUCCAAAGAAACUUUAGUUUGCCAACUGCUCUAUACCUUCCUUUAGGAAACUAGAACUUGUCUGUUUGGUUAAUGAUUACAGAUUCAAAGGAAUUCAUUUUUUAAAGCGAAAUUCAUGACUCAUUGUUUGAAUUAACACUCCUCCACCCCAGCCCACC